GAUGAAGAACGUAGCGAAAUGCGAUAAGUAAUGUGAAUUGCAGAAUUCAGUGAAUCAUCGAAUCUUUGAACGCACCUUGCGCCCUUUGGCUAUUCCGAAGGGCAUGCCUGUUUGAGUAUCAUGAACACCUCAACUCUCAUGGUUUGCCAUGAUGAGCUUGGACUUUGGGGGUCUUGCCGGCCUAUGGGUCGGCUCCUCUCAAAUUAAUCAGCUUGCCAGUGUUUGGUGGCAUCACAGGUGUGAUAACUAUCUACGCUUGUGGUUUUCCAUCAGGUAACCUUCAGUGAUGGAGGUUCGCUGGGGCUCAUAAAUGUCUCUCCUCAGUGAGGACAGCUUUUUUGAACGUUUGAUCUCAAAUCAGGUAGGAAUACCCGCUGAACUUAAGCAUAUCAAUAAGCGGAGGA
rnacentral:misc_RNA from 1 species